AGCAGCAGAGCCUAAUGCUAGGGCACUGGAUUCACACUCAGAAGACUUAGGUUCUAUUCCUGGUGCUGCUG
rnacentral:tRNA from 1 species